UUUAAUCAACAGAAACUCAAAAUAUUAUGUUACCUGAACCAGAUUAAUUAUUUAAGUUGAUUUGACAAAAGAAAAAAUUCUGAUAAAAAAAUCAUAAAAAUACAAUUUUUAACAGUGUAACUGUUUUUAUUCAAGUCACAAGUGAACCAAUAGUUCAUAGGGCCUACCAACAAAUCAAAUUUUUGAGUUAAAUCAACUAGAAAUCGCACUUUAAGGUGGCAAUUGCAGGUUACCACUUUUUACAUUGUAUAAACCGAGCAAAACGCAAUGCGCAGGGCAUGUCCAAGAAAAUCCAUCGAUCUCCAAAACAGGAGGCCUGAUAUUUGGCAUUGUUUUGGUACUCUUGGAAACUGGGACAGUAUGAAUCAGGAAAGCGAAAAAGAUCAUCUAAUAACAGCCAUGUGACGGUUAGAGAGGACGAGAUCUCGCACUCUUGAUUGGCAAACCGAACAGGGUUAGGAUUUCCCCGUCUCAACCCACGGACUUUACAGAGCGGAAAUGGUGCAUUAAAUACUUAACCAACAUUUCCUCCUCCUCUGGCGGUUGGGGUUUUCUCAACACCAACGUCGCUUACACGUAGCCUAGUCUGCAAUAACAGGCUACUGAUGGAAAAACAAUGUUAUUCGAUCAACCUUUAUCCAUUAAACAUGACUGCAACAAUAUGCUGUCGGUGGUAUGACGUGGGUCUAUUAUCAUGGGCUACGUGUGUUGUGCAAUUACGGCUAUCUUUGCACUUUGAGCAAAAUGGAUAGCAGUGGGACUUUCCCAUGACUAUGUGUGUAGUGUGGAACAAACGCCCAUGCAAAUGACAGUGCUAAUCGAUCGGUUUAUAUAGGGAUGCUGCACUGAGCGAGUAGGCGGCAGAAGAGCUUUCUGCAUGUGUCUUAUCAUUCACGGCAGGUGCAUGAGACACAUGAUUCAGCAUCCGCAAUAUGGUACUGGUACCGAAAUGACUCACCGACAACAGAUGAUGUGGACCUGUCGAGAGAAGAGGGGAAAACUAAAGGUCAAAUAAAACCUACUGCUUGACAGAUUUGCAUCACUCAUGGAUGUUAAACUGAGCUCUUGGCUUUGAGAACUGAAUUCCAAGGGUGUCUGCUCAAUAUUCAGCCCACGGAGUUCAGUUCUUAAGUUUGGAUGCUCUUUGCAUCUGUUCUGACCUACGACCUGAACAAACACGCCUGCUACUGGACUGGAAGGUACCGUUUAUUAUGCAAAAUUCUUCAGCCCCGGUCCUCUUCUGCCUUUUUUAAAUCAUAAUGCAGUUCAGUGGAUUCUGUCAGGUUGUGGAUCAUCAUUAGAAAUAAAAUAGAAAACUAUUGUUAUAGUUUUGUAUGGUGAUUUUUUAUUAACUUUUUUUUUUAUUCCACACUUGUUAGUGAAGAUUUGUCAUGUGUUUUUCUUGCCAUAAAUAAGGGUCAUUCGUUACUGUAUAAUGUAUUUAUGUAUAUAUAUAUAUAUAUAUAUAUAUAUAUAUAUAUAUAUAUAUAUACUUUCCAUAUAUUAUAUUUUGACAUGAAACAGUAUCAAUAGGAUGAGUAGUAUGUUGAGAAUAAUGAACCUUAUUCCGAAGUCUUCGCUCUUCUCAGCAGGGUUUUUUGGUUGUCCAUCAAUCACGGUUACAGUCCACAGCUGACAGAGCUUUUCCUGUCUGCUCCCAGGUUGUGGAACCAACCUCCAGUUGAAAUUCGGGAAGCACAGUAUCUUGGAAUUUUUAAAACGCAUUAAAACAUGUAAAAAACAAAACAUAUAUAUAUUUUUAAGCUAGCUUAUUGUUGAUUGUGGUAAUCAUUGCUGGUUUCUUGGUUAUACUUUUUUGUUUGAUUUAUUUUAUAUUUUCUUAUACUGGAAAGUGCUUUGAGAAGCUCUUUUAAAGGCAAUAUAGAAAAUAAAGUUCUCAGAGCUAAACUGUG